AAAAACAUCAGCAGACUCUGGAAGCAGGCGAGCUGGUGGAUUCAACUGGGACUCAGAAGACUGCACUUGAGGAGAUCAUCGUGAGUUGAAGAUCUCUUGCUUAGUCUCGCAGAAACUUCAUCAAGUCUAGCUCACCUGGGAGUCAGUUGGUGCCGGCGAAUCAAUUCGUGCCAGUGAAAUUCACCAAGAGCCUGAUUUACAAACUAGAGAGCCAUGGCCUUAAUUUUAGAGCAAAAGACAAACUUUUCCAAUGAAUAUAGUUUUCUUGUCCAAUAGCUAGGACACCCCCCUCCACCUGCUGUGUACUAAUGAAGCAGAUUUUUUUUUUUGAGUUUUGCUCUUGUUGCCCGGCUGGAGUGCAAUGACACCAUCUUGGCUCACCACAACCUCCACCUCCGGUUUCAAGUGAUUCUCCUGCCUCAGCCUCCCAAGUAGCUGGGAUUACAGGCAUGUGCCACCAUGCCUGGCUAAUUUUGUAUUUUUAGUAGAGACGGGGUUUCUCCAUGUUGGCCAGACAGGUCUCGAACUCCCAACCUCAGGUGAUCCACCCGCUUUGGCCACCCAAAGUACUGGGAUUACAGGCGUGAGCCACAGCGCCCGGCCAAUGAAGCAGAAUUUUUAGCCAGAUGUGUGUGAUACACCAAACCAAAGUGAAAGGAAUUGAAUGACCCUGGAACUUGCUUCAUCUGAUAGGAUGCAUUAGAUAGAGGCUGAUAGAAUAUCUCUUCCCAGAUGGUGAAUAAACUUUUUCUAGUGACCAACAUGUUUAUGUUCGCUAAACACAAUGUCUUUCUGCUUUGACAGUGCUGGAAGUAACUAUUCUUAACUUCGUCCGCUCUUUUGGCACCCCCGGAGGCUCAGGCCCCUGCUCUUUGCCCAUAGUGACAAGAUGAUGCAUUAUUUGUGGUUAAUCCCAUUUAAGAAGGGCUGCUUCCUAAAGGUAUCUAAGAAAAGACCUUAAUUUCCUUAGUCCUAGAAGUGUGCGAAGCACCCAGUGGCUUAGUUUCUAGUCCCAGCUCUGCCACAUCCUAGCUGGUGUCCUUGUACAGAAUUACUUCACUUCUACAAGCCUCAGUUUCUUCAUUUGUAACCUACUUACUUCUGGUUAAAGGUUGAUCAUCAUGUAGAUAAAAAAUACAAGGCCAGGUGCGGUAGCUCACGCCUGUAAUCCCAGCUCUUGGGGAGGCCAAGGUGUGCAGAUCACAAGGUUAGGAGUUCGAGAUCAC
rnacentral:lncRNA from 1 species